rnacentral:rRNA from 1 species
UACGGAGGGUGCGAGCGUUAUUCGGAAUUACUGGGCGUAAAGCGCGUGUAGGCGGGAAGGCAAGUCUGAUGUGAAAGCCCCGGGCUUAACCUGGGAAGUGCAUUGGAAACUGCAAUUCUUGAGUGCUGGAGAGGAAGGGGGAAUUCCCGGUGUAGAGGUGAAAUUCGUAGAGAUCGGGAGGAAUACAAGUGGCGAAGGCGCCCUUCUGGACGGCAACUGACGCUGAGACGCGAAAGCGUGGGGAGCAGACAGG